CAGGGUGUGGCGCAGUUGGUAGCGCGCCUCGCUUGGGACGAGGAGGUCGCUGGUUCGAACCCAGCCACCCUGACCA
rnacentral:tRNA from 1 species